UACGUAGGGGGCAAGCGUUGUCCGGAAUCAUUGGGCGUAAAGAGCUCGUAGGCGGCUUGUCGCGUCGGCUGUGAAAACCUGGGGCUCAACCCCGGGCCUGCAGACGAUACGGGCAAGCUAGAAUUCGGUAGGGGAGACUGGAAUUCCUGGUGUAGCGGUGAAAUGCGCAGAUAUCAGGAGGAACACCGGUGGCGAAGGCGGGUCUCUGGGCCGAUAUUGACGCUGAGGAGCGAAAGCGUGGGGAGCGAACAGG
rnacentral:rRNA from 1 species